GUUGGUAGCUCAGUGGUAGAGUGCAUGCUUUGUGUGUAUCACGUCCUGGGUUUAAAUUCCAGCUCCAGUA
rnacentral:tRNA from 1 species